CUUCUUUUCCACUCACUUAUGCUUCUCACUCUCUUUCUCUCACCCGACUCCAUCCCUCUUCACCUCAACCUCCCUCUCUUCCUCACUCCACCGCCAUGCCCCGUCGCGCCGCCUAGCACCGCGCUGCUGCUCCCUCGCCUCCCUUCUCCGUUGGUUGAUGCGGGUGUUGUGGUUGUUGUUGAUAAUAGUGCUACUCUUCCCCUCUCCUCUCGGUCUUGCUCCAUGCUACCGCCGCCGAUGGUGGCCGUUGAAUUUCAAUCAGUAAUACUCCCUCAUCAAUGGGUAAUUACUUGACUUCUUUAGUUGAUUGAUUGAUUAGUUCUUGAUUUAAGAUCCUAAAACCCUAACUUAUUCAUUUUCUUUCUCCUCGUGGGUGCGCCACCCCUUCUGGUUGCCGGCGUGACGAUGUUCUAUCGUCGUCGCCGUUUGUCCUGCUCGUUGCGGUUGUUGUUGUCAUUGGUUGUCGGGCUGAUUGUGUUUUGCUCUCUCCUCUUUUCGUUCCUCUGCUCUGCCUCCUCUCCUCCUCGCCGGAGCACCGCCCUCCGUGACUACUCGAGUUGGUCACGUUGUUGGGGUCGAUCUUGUUAUUGUUGAUGUUGUUGAUUCCCUUCUUGCUUUCCUAUUUCACAUGAGGGUGAAUUUGUUGGAGAAUAGAACAUCCAAAUUUGCGCUAAGAAUUCACUCACGGUGAUCUUGAUGAAAAAUGAUGGAAAACAAGUGAAUUUGAGCCAAAACAGGGCUUGUGUGGUCGAGUGGCGUUUUGUGCGCCCGAACAGGUAGUGCAAAUGGAGUUCAAGGAGAUUCCAGUUUUGUGCGGUCGAAUGCCCUCUGUCAUUCGGUCGCACAAAACGGAUUUUUGAGGCAAAAUGUCCCAAGAUUGUAAAACGACCGCACAACCCUGGUAAUUCGACAGCACAGGUUUUGUGCGAUCGAACGUGCUCUGUUGUUCGGUCGCACAGAUUUGGUUUUUGGAGGCAGAAUGUCCCUAACUUGGGAUGCGACCGCACAAUGUUCUCUACUCGACCGCACAAAAGUUGUCCGCCCAAACGGCUUUCCUUGUUCGACCAAAUGAAGCUGCGAAGGAAUUAUGAGCCAAAGAAAUCCCAUUCGACCGAACAGGGUUCUUCGUUCGGUCGCACAUGACGAAGGAAGUGUUCUUCGCUGCCUUUGCUCGCACAAGACCCAUUAUUUGCUCGAAUGAUUAUUUUACGUUCUGCGCGGGCUGCUCUUAUUCGAAUUAUGGCUUCUAUUUGGGGAAACAUAUAAAUAGAUUUUUUGAUUUAUUUUGUAGAGAGUAGAAUUUUAGUUGAUAAUUGGAUAUUCUAAAAGUAGAUUUUCAGCAAUUCUAGAGAGAGAAACUCUCCUCCAUUCAAGCUUCAAUUUGUAAUCCUUCUUAACUCUUCUUUAAUUUUGCAAUUUAAUUCUUAGUUUCUUAAUUCUUGCUCU